GAUUAAAUGGCUGAUAAUAGGUAAUAAAUUGUAAAUUUAUUUAUAAGAUUAAUAAUCUUUUUAAUCA
rnacentral:tRNA from 1 species